rnacentral:rRNA from 1 species
AGCGAACGCUGGCGGCGUGCUUAACACAUGCAAGUCGAACGAGUGUAGCAAUACAUUCGUGGCGAACGGGUGCGUAACACGUGGAUAACCUUCCUUGAGGUGGGGAAUAACCCAGUGAAAAUUGGGAUAAUACCGCAUAACAAAGCGAUGGCACAUGCUGAUGCUUUCAAAGGAGCAAUUCGCCACAAGAGGGAUCCGCGGCCGAUUAGCUAGUUGGUGAGGUAACGGCUCACCAAGGCAAUGAUCGGUAGCCGGACUGAGAGGUUGGCC